rnacentral:rRNA from 1 species
AACGAACGCUGGCGGCAGGCUUAACACAUGCAAGUCGAACGGGUGUAGCAAUACAUCAGUGGCAGACGGGUGAGUAACACGUGGGAACCUUCCUAGGGGUACGGAACAACUCAGGGAAACUUGAGCUAAUACCGUAUACGUCCGUAAGGAGAAAGAUUCAUCGCCCCUAGACGGGCCCGCGUCGGAUUAGGUAGUUGGUGGGGUAACGGCCUACCAAGCCUACGAUCCGUAGCUGAUCUGAGAGGANGAUCAGCCACACUGGGACUGAGACACGGCCCAGACUCCUACGGGAGGCAGCAGUGGGGAAUCUUGCGCAAUGGGCGAAAGCCUGACGCAGCGACGCCGCGUGAGGGAUGACGGCCU